UGUUAUUAUCGAGGGUGUGACGGAGAAGGAUAGUGUGUGCUAGCGAUUGGAAAUGCUAGUCUAAGCGUUUAGGGAGUUACAGUAGGCAAAUCCGCUGUAACAAUUCUGAGGCGUGAUGGGGAAGGUCAUUAAGACCGAAGUACAUGAUUCCAUGCUUCCAAGAAAAGCAUCUAGAGAGAGAAGUAGUGCCCGUACCGCAAACCGACACAGGUAGAUGAGGAGAGAAUCCUAAGGCCGGCGGAAGAAUUGCAGUUAAGGAACUAGGCAAAUUGACCCCGUAAGUUCGCGAGAAGGGGUGCCUGUGAGAGCAGGCCGCAGAGAAUAGGCCCAAGCAACUGCUUAGCAAAAACACAGGUCUCUGCUAAAGCGUAAGCUGAUGUAUAGGGGCUGACGCCUGCCCGGUGCUGGAAGGUUAAGGGGAACACUUAGCGCAAGCGAAGGUGUGAACUUAAGCCCCAGUAAACGGCGGCCGUAACGAUAACGGUCCUAAGGUAGCGAAAUUCCUUGUCAGGUAAGUUCUGACCCGCACGAAUGGCGUAAUGACUUGGGCACUGUCUCAACUGCAAAUCCGGCGAAGUUGUAGUGCGAGUGAAGAUGCUCGCUACCCGCGAUUGGACGGAAAGACCCCGUAGAGCUUUACUGUAGCUUAGCAUUGAAUUCCGGUAUUGUCUGUACAGGAUAGGUGGGAGACUGGGAAACUAGGGCGUCAGCCUUAGUGGAGUCAACCUUGGGAUACCACCCUGACAGUACUGGGGUUCUAACAGGACGCCAUGAAGCUGGUGACUGGACAUUGUUAGGUGGGCAGUUUGACUGGGGCGGUCGCCUCCUAAAAAGUAACGGAGGCGCCCAAAGGUUCCCUCAGAACGGUCGGAAAUCGUUCGUAGAGUGCAAAGGCAGAAGGGAGCCUGACUGCGAGACCCACAAGUCGAGCAGGGACGAAAGUCGGGCUUAGUGAUCCGGUGGUACCUCGUGGGAGGGCCAUCGCUCAACGGAUAAAAGCUACCUCGGGGAUAACAGGCUGAUCUCCCCCAAGAGUCCACAUCGACGGGGAGGUUUGGCACCUCGAUGUCGGCUCGUCGCAUCCUGGGGCUGUAGUAGGUCCCAAGGGUUGGGCUGUUCGCCCAUUAAAGCGGCACGCGAGCUGGGUUCAGAACGUCGUGAGACAGUUCGGUCCCUAUCCGUCGCGGGCGUAGGAAAUUUGAGAGGAGCUGUCCUUAGUACGAGAGGACCGGGAUGGACUGACCUCUGGUGCACCAGUUGUUCUGCCAAGAGCAUGGCUGGGUAGCUAAGUCGGGAAGGGAUAAACGCUGAGAGCAUCUAAGCGUGAAGCCCCCCUCAAGAUGAGAUUUCCCAUAGCAUAAGCUAGUAAGACCCCUUGAAGAACACAAGGUUGAUAGGUCAGAGGUGGAAGUGCGGUAACGUAUGUAGCUGACUGAUACUAAUAGGUCGAGGGCUUGACC
rnacentral:rRNA from 1 species